AUGGCGUGGCUUAGUUGGGAGAAGAUGAGAGUUCCAAAAGCCAUGGGCGGCAUGGGCUUCAGAGAUAUGAGAGCUUUCAACCAGGCUCUUCUUGCUAAACAAGCUUGGAGGCUUAUUGAAACACCUGAUAGUUUGUGUGCUAGACUGCUGAAAGCCAAGUACUUUGCUGCCGACCAUCUUCUUGAUACAGUAUUCACAGGUAAUGGCUCGGCGGUGUGGAAGGGAAUUUUGCAUGGGCUUGAGCUGUUAAAGAAGGGUAUAAUUUGGCGCGUUGGGAACGGAACGCUUAUCAGGACCUGGAGAGAUCCUUGGAUCCCAUGGCCGUACUCUUACAGACCUAUCACCUCAAAGCGCAAUUGUCGUUUUAAUAGAGUUUCUGAUUUCUUGGAUAUGAAUGGUGCUUGGAGGAUGGACAGACUAAGAAAUCAUUUCUGGGCAAUGGAUAUAGAGCAUAUAUUAAAGAUACGGACUUCUCCAAGGUUGCGGACUGAUUUUGUCGCGUGGGCACCGGAGAAAAGUGGGCUGUUCACGGUGAGGAGCGCUUACAAAGUGGCUACAUGUGAUCAUGAUGUCGCCCUUGCAGGAGGUUCUUCCAGCUACGAACCGUGUGGUCGACGCACGCUAUGGAAUUGCAUAUGGAAAUCUUCUGUUCCCCAACGAAUGAAAAUAUCAGCGUGGAAAGUAGCUACGGGGGCCCUCCCAACACAAAAAUGUAAAAGGUUCAGACAUCUCUCAACUAGAUCCACGUGCCCCUUAUGUGGUAUUGAGGAGGAAGGAUCCUAUCAUGCCCUGGUAGCGUGUUCUCAUGCCAGAAAAAUUUGGAUCAGCAUGAGGACAAGAUGGCCUCUACCGGGAGAUGAAAUGCUCAUUGACAAUGGAAAGGAAUGGCUGCUACAUCUUCUGUCUAGGUGUUCAGAGAAUACACGGGAUAUGAUCAUCAUGCUUUGUUGGCGUAUAUGGCAGCUGCGGUCAGACCAAACCCAUGGGAAAGAAGUUCCUCCAGCUCAUGUAACCGUAGACUUCCUGGAUAGCUACUAUCAGUCGGUCAGGUUAGCUGAGAGGUUUUCAACGAAUGAAAUCAUCAAAGGGAAGAUGCCAUCUUCGGCUAUCCCUCUUAUGGCUGAGAAAACAGCGCCGCCAGUUGAGCCAUGGCCGAAUCCAGUACCAGGGCAGGUUGCACUCUCUGUGGAUGGUUCCUUUAGUGCUUCGGACGGCUCGGCGGCUGCUAGGAUGGUACUGUGA
rnacentral:rRNA from 1 species